rnacentral:rRNA from 1 species
GUYUUUUUGUUUAAAAUUUAAAGUCGGGCCUGCCCACUGAAAAUUUAAAUGGCCGUGGUAUUUUGACCGUGCUAAGGUAGCAUAAUCAUUAGUUUUUUAAUUGAAAGCUGGAAUGAAAGGUUUGAUAAAAAAAUAACUGUCUCUAUUUAAUUUUAUUAAAAAUUUAUUUUUAAGUUCAAAAGCUUAAUUUUGAUUAAAAGACGAGAAGACCCUAUAGAGUUUAAUAAUUUAGGAUAACUUGUAUUUUAGAAUUAAUUUAUUUAUUUUUUAAAAUUAUUUAAUUGGGGUGAUUGAAAAAUUUAAUUAACUUUUUUUAUAUUUAACCAUUAAUUUAUGAUAAUUUGAUCCAAUUUUUUUGAUUAUAAGAUAAAAUUACCUUAGGGAUAACAGCGUAAUUUUUUUAGAAAGUUCAAAUUAAAAGAAAAGAUUGCGACCUCGAUGUUGGAUUAAAAUUAAAUUUUGGUGUAGAAGCUAAAAAUUUGAGUCUGUUCGACUUUUAA